UACGAAGGGUGCUAGCGUUGUUCGGAAUUACUGGGCGUAAAGCGUGCGCAGGCGGCUUCUCAAGUCAGGGGUGAAAGCCCAGAGCUCAACUCUGGAAUUGCCAUUGAUACUGUAGGGCUUGAGUACAGAUGCCGUUGGCGGAAUAUGACAUGUAGUGGUGAAAUACAUAGAGAUGUCAUAGAACACCGAUUGCGAAGGCAGCUGACGAAACUGUAACUGACACUGAGGCUCGAAAGUGUGGGGAUCAAACAGG
rnacentral:rRNA from 1 species